UAUCCAUAGCAGAAUAAAAUCCUUUUUAUUGAAACAUUUUUUCAGUCGUUGGCAGCCAGCCUGCUCCAAUUAGCUCUCCUAUCAUAUUCCUCAAAGCCAGGCUCCAAGGUGAACAAGUGAAAACCUGACAAGUGGAAUGUAAAGCUUCAGGCAUCUUUACAUCCCCCUUGUGCUGCUGGCAUGGUACAAAGGCAACUUUAAACAAGACUGAGGAUCUGGCCCUUUGUUUUCACAGCAAGAGCCACAGGCACUCUCAGCAGCUGCAGUCCGUCAGUUAACACCUCUUUCACUCUGCCUCUUUUGCAUUAAGGGAUUCAUUAGGACUUUGUGAGGACCAUGCCACUGAAGACUCAACAAGCUCAGCCGGCAGCCUGCACGGGGCACCAGGAGCGAGAAAAGGACUGUGAUACUUGGAGGUGCUCCAGAGAUCUGCUUGAUGCUUCAUUUAGGGGAAGCUUAAGCCAUAAAUGUGAGAUCUCCAGUCCUAAUCUGGAACCACCCUGAAUAUGAACAUUGGACUGUAAUCUAUGGAUUAAAUCUAAAAACUCUUUUCAACUACAAA